UUGAUGGUUUUAGCUCCCUCGUCGAAGAUCAACUGACCAUAGGCAACCCAUUGGAAAGCUCAUCCAACCGUUCAAAGAGCUCUUAACCAAAAGGUUGAUAACCCCUGCUCUGGAUAGUCAGUGUUCAUGACAUCUCUAGCCCUUAUAGCUUCAGUACAGCUCAAGAUAGCAUCUUAACCGUGGCAGCACUUCUUUCUCUAAGAUGGAAAACCCAACCAACGGAGCACCCAGUUUUUAGAACUAAAAGUAAUGAGGAUGUUCGGAGGUAAGUUGUCUGCUUUAUGUGUUUCCAUGAACAGGACAUGAAAACUUGGUAAACUUGACUGUUUCCCUAAGGCACAGGUCUUUCAGGUCUUUUUCUUCCUUCACUGAAAAUGGAGACCUGGCACAUGUUCUGCCUCAGAUGAUUGUGAUGAAUUAAAUUGACAAUUUUUCAAUAGUCUAAUUUGUCUUCUUUACAAAUAAGACAUUAGUUCUUAUUUCCCUAAUAAUCAGGUGUGUAACAACUAAACAGUAAACAUCCUAGAAUCAAAAGAAAACAUAAAUUUUUCAACAUGGAGAAACCCAAUAAUAACCUCUUGGGGGGAUCUGUUUUGUCUCAUGUCCUUGGCCAGAUAAUUUUGGACAUAUUGUCUCUUAGCUCUGCAAUUGGCUUGCACA
rnacentral:lncRNA from 1 species